CGAGGCUUCAAAACAAAGUGUGAGAUGUGCCAGCGAGCAGGCACACACACACACACACACACACACACCUAGCAAGGAAAGAACACCGAUUUUUCUUUAUCCAAUACACUUGACCACACACAUCCCCAUGAGCGCUUUUUCCUUCAAAGUCCUCACCUCAGGAAGCCGAGCUCUUCUGUAGUUUGACCGUGCUGGACAGCUCAUUGUAGUCACUGCAUUUGGCUUCUGAUAUCUCUGGUCGCUUCAGAAGAUGAAAUUCAUCCUUAAAGGACAACUCUCGGUCUCUUCUGAGGAUAUCUGAAAAGCGUACUUCAGAUUCUGAACCCAGGUGUUGACGGCUGCAUGACUGGAACGGGAGCCUGUGUGGAAGGACAAACCUCUUCAGAAGGAGUGGCCCUACCUGUGUAGAGAAAGUCCAAGUCUGUGCUGUUGUCAGAACUGAGUGUGUUUGUUCCACGCGGGCACCUGUCCCCAUCGAUACGAAGGCUGGAGCCUCAGAGAUGGAACGUAACUCACACGGUCACUUAGCUGGCUCAGUCGUCUCCAGGUACCUCGGCGCCUUCUGGACUGCCCUUGCGUUGGAUUUUUCUGCCUUUUUUGACAAGUGACCCUUGAAAAAUUAUCUCACUUUUAGGUUUUCUUAUGUCAUCUCUGGCAAGCUGGCUUCUGGGUUACAUGGCAUUGGAGUGCUGCCUGCUUGGCCUGGUUUCAUCGAAGACCAGUUCUUGGCUUUGUGGACUAAGCCCUAUUCCUCCCUGAAAGGUGAGUGAUGUCCCGUUCUUUCCUUCCUUGCCUGCCCCAAAGGGAAGACGAUGCAAUCCCGUGGGCACAUGUGUCUCAGGAUGAAGGUCCACGUGCUGACCAAUAUGUGCAGACAAUAGACCACGCCUGUGUUGACACUUUUAUUCCUCACCCACGGUGUGCGUGUGUUUCUGUACACCCUGGGUGCUGUUGCCCAUCUUCAGUAGUGACCAAUUUGUCACUAAACAGCAUUCUGUUUGGUUUGCAUGAACUGGCAGUUAAACUGUCCUGGUUUUUACAGUUUUGUCUCUUAAGGCCGACUGCCAAUGUUUUGCUACCCCUUUGGUUCAGUGACAGCCCCCAGGGCUGUAGCGGCUGAGAAACAGGAGGGUGGAGGUUAUAUCCCUGGGACGUUAGCUUGGCAGGUGCUCACCCUCUGGUGUGUCUUCACCUGUACUUUCCUCAGCCUCUUCAGUUGUUUUUUUUUUUUUUC
rnacentral:lncRNA from 10 species